GAUGAACGCUGGCGGCGUGCCUAAUACAUGCAAGUCGGACGCAAUGCUUCGGCAUUGAGUGGCGAACGGGUGAGUAAUACAUAAGCAACCUGCCCCUGUGAGGGGAAUAACGUUCUGAAAAGAACGCUAAUACCGCAUAACAUACGGAUGUCGCAUGGCAACCGUAUCAAAGAUUUUAUCGCUUGAAGAUGGACUCGCGUCCGAUUAGCCAGUUGGCGGGGUAACGGCCCACCAAAGCGACGAUCGGUAGCCGGACUGAGAGGUUGAACGGCCACAUUGGGACUGAGACACGGUCCAU
rnacentral:rRNA from 1 species